rnacentral:rRNA from 1 species
AUGGAGGUGGUGAGGAGCCUCCUGAAGCCGAAGCCGACACCACGGCAGCAGCUGCACGAGUGGCAGCGCCACCUCCGUAACGAGGGCCGCAACAUCGAGCACCAGAUCCGAGACGUGCAGAAGGAGGAGAAGAAGGUGGAGAAGGCCAUCCGAGACGCCGCCAAGGAGCUAGUGCAGUCCAGGAAGGCGGUCAACCACCUCUACAAGAACAAGGCCCGGCUCAACUCCAUCUCCAUGCACCUCGGCAAGAUCAUCGCUGCUCUUCGCCUCGCCUUGCCUCGCACAAGCGGCGUCGUCAGGUUGCAAGCAAAUAUUCGUGUCUGCUCUUUCACUAGUGUCGACCCUUGCUUUUCUACUUGGCCAAUGAGUGGAAGAAACCCUUCGCUGGAUCUAUACAUCAGCUCCCAUGAUAUUGCAUUAGCUAUAAUCUGUACUACUAAAAGAGGACAGAGGACAAGGGCUUCAUGGCCAAACAGGGCGCAUGGUGCUCGCAAGCGACGAACGGAGGCUGUUCGACAUCGUCUACACAAACCACCAUUGUGA